rnacentral:rRNA from 1 species
ACUCCUACGGGAGGCAGCAGUGGGGAAUAUUGCACAAUGGGGGAAACCCUGAUGCAGCCAUGCCGCGUGUGUGAAGAAGGCCUUCGGGUUGUAAAGCACUUUCAGUAGGGAGGAAGGUAGUGUAGUUAACACCUGCAUUAUUUGACGUUACCUACAGAAGAAGCACCGGCUAACUCCGUGCCAGCAGCCGCGGUAAUACGGAGGGUGCGAGCGUUAAUCGGAAUUACUGGGCGUAAAGCGCAUGCAGGCGGCCUGUUAAGUCAGAUGUGAAAGCCCGGGGCUCAACCUCGGAAUUGCAUUUGAAACUGGCCGACUAGAGUACUGUAGAGGGGGGUAGAAUUUCAGGUGUAGCGGUGAAAUGCGUAGAGAUCUGAAGGAAUACCGGUGGCGAAGGCGGCCCCUGGACAGAUACUGACACUCAGAUGCGAAAGCGUGGGGAGCAAACAGGAUUAGAUACCCUGGUAGGAUAGCG